rnacentral:rRNA from 1 species
UACGUAGGGACCAAGCGUUGUUCGGAUUUACUGGGCGUAAAGGGUGCGUAGGCGGCGCGGUAAGUCACUUGUGAAAUCUCUGAGCUUAACUCAGAACGGCCAAGUGAUACUGCAGUGCUAGAGUGUGGAAGGGGCAAUCGGAAUUCUUGGUGUAGCGGUGAAAUGCGUAGAUAUCAAGAGGAACACCGGUGGCGAAGGCGGGUCUCUGGGCCGAUACUGACGCUGAGGAGCGAAAGCGUGGGGAGCGAACAGG